rnacentral:rRNA from 1 species
AUACGUAGGUGGCAAGCGUUGUCCGGAAUUAUUGGGCGUAAAGCGCAUGUAGGCGGUUUGGUAAGUCGGUCGUGAAAAUGCGGUGCUUAACGCCGUAUGGCGAUUGAAACUGCUGAACUUGAGUGCAGGAGAGGAAAGGGGAACUCCCAGUGUAGCGGUGAAAUGCGUAGAUAUUGGGAAGAAAACCGGUGGCGAAGGCGCAUUUCUGGACUGUGUCUGACGCUCAGAUGCGAAAGCCAGGGUAGCGAACGGGAUUAGAUACCCCGGUAGUCCUGGCCGUAAACGAUGGUUACUAGGUGUGGGAGGUAUCGACUCCUUCCGUGCCGGAGUUAACGCAAUAAGUACCCCGCCUGGGGAGUACGGCCGCAAGGCUUAAACUCAAAUGAAUUGACGGGG